rnacentral:rRNA from 1 species
UACGUAGGGUGCAAGCGUUGUCCGGAAUUAUUGGGCGUAAAGAGCUCGUAGGCGGUCUGUCGCGUCUGCUGUGAAAACCUAGGGCUUAACUCUGGGCGUGCAGUGGGUACGGGCAGGCUAGAGUGCGGUAGGGGAGACUGGAAUUCCUGGUGUAGCGGUGGAAUGCGCAGAUAUCAGGAGGAACACCAAUGGCGAAGGCAGAUCUCUGGGCCGUAACUGACGCUGAGGAGCGAAAGCAUGGGGAGCGAACAGG